GUAGGUGGCAAGCGUUGUCCGGAAUUAUUGGGCGUAAAGCGCGCGCAGGCGGUUCUUUAAGUCUGAUGUGAAAGCCCACGGCUCAACCGUGGAGGGUCAUUGGAGACUGGAGAACUUGAGUACAGAAGAGGAAAGCGGAAUUCCACGUGUAGCGGUGAAAUGCGUAGAGAUGUGGAGGAACACCAGUGGCGAAGGCGGCUUUCUGGUCUGUAACUGACGCUGAGGCGCGAAAGCGUGGGGGGAGCAAACAGGAUUAGAUACCCUGGUAGUCCACGCCGUAAACGAUGAGUGCUAAGUGUUAGGGGGUUUCCGCCCCUUAGUGCUGCAGCUAACGCAUUAAGCACUCCGCCUGGGAGUACGGCCGCAAGGCUG
rnacentral:rRNA from 1 species